rnacentral:rRNA from 1 species
GACGUAGGGCGCGAGCGUUGUCCGGAUUUAUUGGGCGUAAAGAGCUCGUAGGCGGCUCGUUGCGUCGGCUGUGAAAACCCGCAGCUCAACUGUGGGCUUGCAGCUGAUACGGGCGGGCUGGGAUUCGGUAGGGGAGACUGGAAUUCCUGGUGUAGCGGUGAAAUGCGCCGAUAUCAGGAGGAACACCGGUGGCGAAGGCGGGUCUCUGGGCCGAUAUCGACGCUGAGGAGCGAAAGCGUGGGGAGCGAACAGG